UACGGAGGGAGCGAACGUUGUUCGGAAUCACUGGGUGUAAAGGGUGCGUAGGCGGCCUUGUAUGUCGGAGGUGAAAUCUACCGGCUCAACCGGUCAAAUUGCCUCCGAAACUGCUUGGCUUGAGUCCGGAAGGGGAGGGUGGAAUUCCUGGUGUAACGGUGAAAUGUGCAGAUAUCAGGAGGAACACCGGUGGCGAAGGCGGCCCUCUGGUCCGGUACUGACGCUGAUGCACGAAAGCCAGGGGAUCAAACGGG
rnacentral:rRNA from 2 species